UUCUGGUUAUCAACAAUUUACAACUGCAGAAAGUGGUGAAAGGAUCGAAUCCACAGGGAAUUGAAGACUUACCUAUUUUCCUUAUCAAGACCAAUAAAAUAAACUGAAACAAAAAUAAACUGCAAAAGAAGAAAACUGAAAACGAGAUAAACUGAAAUGAGAUAAAACUGAAACGAGAUAAAACUGAAAUAAGAUAAAACUGAAACGAGAUAAAACUGAAAACGAGAUAAACUGAAACGAGAUAAAACUAAAAUGAGAUAAAACUGAAAGAGAAAUAAACAGAAAGCAAAAUAAACUAAAACGAGAUAAAACUGAAACCAACUAAACUGUAAGUAAAAUGGGGGGUUUUGAGAUUGAUUUAAUUAAUCUAAAACUGAAAGCAAUAAAAAUAAGGCAAAUAAUAAAAAUAAAGAGAAAUAAAUAAUAAGAAAGAUCUAAUUGAAGAAUGGAUCCACUUUAGUUGUCGGGAUUGAUCAUUGACACUUAGUUUCCUUUGGGUUGAUUCAAUAGAUUAGUUAUGGAGAUGGAAAACGCUUCUCACCACCAUUAUCUCUCCUUAUGAUUAAACCAAUUAGGGAACGUCCUCUAAUUAAUUACUAAUUAACAAAUUGCCAAGGAACAUCCUUGGGCCUUAGGCAUCAAAACAAUUGUCAAUUGCAUUAAGAAAUAGAGAGAUCCAAUCCUAGCUACCCAAACAUAUGGAGAUAACGCUAGAUCAUACAAUUU
rnacentral:lncRNA from 1 species